AAACUUUGAAUGAAUUAAAUUUCCAAGGGCCCCCCUUCCCUUUCUCUGAUCAUUAUUUAGUUUGUGUUAUGCAGUUGGGUUUUGAAAAAUUCAUCAUAAAUCCCUUUCCUUUUUUAAUUCCCUUUUCCCUCUCCCUUCAUUUCUCCACUCCUUUCUUUUUCUUUUCAACUCACAAACCCUGUGUGUAAAAAUGAGCAAGAGAUCGAGAAGUAGCGAGGCAGAGGUGGAGUUGAGAGUGAACUUGAACCAGUCGCCUACAACUUCGUCUUCGUCUUCGUCGGUGAGCACAUUUGGUGGAUCGGGAUCAGGAUCUGGGGAUUCGUGCUUGUCAUGUGAAGGAGAAGAUCAGCAUGGUGGGAGAUUGGAAGAGAUAAUAACAAGAUCGAUGAUGUUGGUGGGAUGUCCGGGGUGUUUCAUGUAUGUGAUGCUGACAGAAAAGAGCUCCCAAUGCCCAAAAUGCAAGAACAACGUGUUUCUUGAUUUCUUCAAGCAACAACCACAGCAUCAUGCCUAGUUACCCCAACAUAUCCAAAUUAUUAUAAUUAAGUACUCUUUUUCCUUUUCCUUUCUUAUUUCUCAUCACAUUUCUUAACUUUAAUUAGUCAAGUUGUUCUUUUUUUUUUUUUUUCUUUCCUUUUCUUUUCUUUUUGGUAUUUUGGUUGGUGUGAGAUCUUAUUAUAUAUAAAUUAAAAUGUUGUCCACCAUGAAACCUAGGAUGGAUUAUUAACUUUCUGUAUGAAUUGGGCUGAAAUUUUCACUUUAAUUUCUCUA